rnacentral:rRNA from 1 species
UGGUGCCUUCGGGACAUUGAGACAGGUGCUGCAUGGCUGUCGUCAGCUCSUGUYKUGAGAUGUUGGGUUAAGUCCCGUAACGAGCGCAACCCUUGUCCUUAGUUACCAGCACGUAAUGGUGGGCACUCUAAGGAGACUGCCGGUGACAAACCGGAGGAAGGUGGGGAUGACGUCAAGUCAUCAUGGCCCUUACGGCCUGGGCUACACACGUGCUACAAUGGUCGGUACAGAGGGUUGCCAAGCCGCGAGGUGGAGCUAAUCCCAUAAAACCGAUCGUAGUCCGGAUCGCAGUCUGCAACUCGACUGCGUGAAGUCGGAAUCGCUAGUAAUCGCGAAUCAGAAUGUCGCGGUGAAUACGUUCCCGGGUCUUGUACACAC